CUUUUUGUAUUGAAACCGAUCGUUAAUGAGCAAAAACGCGUGACGUACGUAGACGACAUGUUGACCUGCGCCCGCGUCAUCGCGUCAAUAUAUAUUGUGAGCCGGUGUCAGAUCGAUUCAGAUUGAACUGAGCUUUCAAAGAGAACACACGUCAAAAUAAAUAAAAUGUAUACAAAUCCGUUCGAAAGGAAACACUCCGCGUUGAGGCAGACGCUCGACCGUCUGAUCCGCGGGGAGGGUAGAUUGAGUUUUAGAAAGAAAACAAAUCUAUCGAAGACAACCAGUAGUGCAUCAUCAGUGUCGUCUUCAUCCACUGUGUAUUCCAACAAUGAGAAGCGGUGAAGGAAUGUGUUGUGAUGUGUUUUGUGAAAAGUUUUGAUACGCUUCGCUUCGAAGCAGUUCCACUUAACCGGUACAUGGUGACGAAGGGAGAAACUGGGCCAAAUCAACAGUUAUCGUUCGUGGAAAUAAAAUCGUCUAUGUUAUUAAUUAUUAAGGCAAUAAAAUACAUAUUAGCUA